rnacentral:tRNA from 1 species
ACAGUGGUGGUUCAGUGGUAGAAUUCUUGUCUUCCAUGCCAGAGACCCAAGUUCGAUUCCUGGCCAAUGUG